GAGAUAGAGGCGCGUUUGCCAAGAGUACGCCGGGCAGCGGGAGGACUCCCGCCGGCGAAAAGGGGUUGACGCCGAAGCCGCCGGGGAGGUCCUUCCCCGGUAGGCUGGGAUCGCGGGGAACACCUGCGGUACUGUCACGAAAGUGGAGCGCUAUC
rnacentral:ncRNA from 1 species